rnacentral:rRNA from 1 species
CAGCAGCCGCGGUAAUACGGAGGGUGCAAGCGUUAAUCGGAAUUACUGGGCGUAAAGCGCACGCAGGCGGUCUGUUAAGUCAGAUGUGAAAUCCCCGGGCUCAACCCGGGAACUGCAUUUGAAACUGGCAGGCUUGAGUCUUGUAGAGGGGGGUAGAAUUCCAGGUGUAGCGGUGAAAUGCGUAGAGAUCUGGAGGAAUACCGGUGGCGAAGGCGGCCCCCUGGACAAAGACUGACGCUCAGGUGCGAAAGCGUGGGGAGCAAACAGGAUUAGAGACCCGAGUAGUCCCUGUCUCUUAUAC